rnacentral:rRNA from 1 species
GAGUUUGAUCCUGGCUCAGAACGAACGCUGGCGGCAUGCCUAACACAUGCAAGUCGAACGAACCCUUCGGGGUGAGUGGCGCACGGGUGCGUAACGCGUGGGAACCUGCCUUUAGGUUCGGAAUAACUCAGAGAAAUUUGAGCUAAUACCGGAUAAUGUCUUCGGACCAAAGAUUUAUCGCCUUUAGAUGGGCCCGCAUUAGAUUAGAUAGUUGGUGGGGUAAUGGCCUACCAAGUCGACGAUCUAUAGCUGGUCUGAGAGGAUGAUCAGCCACACUGGGACUGAGACACGGCCCAGACUCCUACGGGAGGCAGCAGUGGGGAAUAUUGGACAAUGGGCGAAAGCCUGAUCCAGCAAUGCCGCGUGAGUGAUGAAGGCCUUAGGGUUGUAAAGCUCUUUUACUAGGGAUGAUAAUGACAGUACCUAGAGAAUAAGCUCCGGCUAACUCCGUGCCAGCAGCCGCGGUAAUACGGAGGGAGCUAGCGUUGUUCGGAAUUACUGGGCGUAAAGAGAACGUAGGCGGCUAUCCAAGUCAGGGGUGAAAUCCCGGGGCUCAACCCCGGAACUGCCCUUGAAACUAGGUAGCUAGAAUUCUGGAGAGGUUAGUGGAAUUCCGAGUGUAGAGGUGAAAUUCGUAGAUAUUCGGAAGAACACCAG